GUAAGGGCCAGAAGGCAGCAGCUGGCAGGUGCCUGAUGAGGGCAGCCAUUUUGGAUUCAGGGCUGCCCAUAUAAACAGGGCAGUUCUGCUGCUGGAGGCCAGGCAACAACACUGCCUGGCUGGAGGGCUGUUGUUGUCAUCUGGAGGAGGCACAGCCCUGCAUGGUGGUGAGGAGUGAAGAGAACAGCAGGAACAGCCCGUGGGGACCCUGCUUGUCCCUCAGCUGCAGCAGCCUGAGCCCUGCAGCAGCUGCCACUGGAUCAAGGAAAGCUGGGGCAGAAAUGAAUACUAACUCAGAGCCUAAAACAAGAACCAGCUGAACUAUUGGCAAUCGAACAUAAUUGUGAGUUCCUCCCUUUAACAAUUUCCACAUCAAGAGUCCAAUUUCCACCUUAAAUCUAUGCUGGCAAACUAGGUUUUGUCCCAGUGUUUACAUCAAGAUGGAAGAAAAUGGGAGAAGUAAAAUAAUGGAAGACAGUGCAAAGACUUAAGAAAACCUCCUGUCCAGGCAGUUCCAUCUGACUUAAUUUUUAGCACACUGUCUCAAACAAACUUUGCUACAGAGUAGGCGACAGUAAAUUAAAUAAAUUGAUAGAAAUGCAUCCAUAUCUGAAGAUACAUACUUAGUUCUUGGUUUACAUACAACAUUGUAAUCAUUUAAUUUUGGAUAGUAUGUGCUUUUACAUUUGAACGAUUCAAAGUGAAUUGCCAAGAACAUGCUUUAUGUUUGUUUUCAU